GUGGGCGCGGGUACCCCUUGCCGACGCCCAGAAGUGGCCUGGAGGAGGCAGGAAGGUCCCUUUUGUGUCCAGGCCGGCCUUGGAAUUCCCCAUCCAGGCCAGAGGGUCCCUCAGCCUCCACCAGCCACCAAGCUGUAGACCCAGCACUCGGGAGGGGAGCCCCUGCAGGGGCCUUGUGCACCUCCUCGGGCAAACAGAGAGUGCAAACAUUCCAGCCCCAGCCCCGCCCUGCCCCGGGAGCAACAGGCCCUGCCCCUGCCCCAGGUCCUCGAAACCUGCCCCCACUCCCCAUCACCGAUGGCAGCCAAGGGUCAGGCCCGGGUCCAGAGUGGGGGCAGAGUGAGGGACAGGGCAUCCACCCAUACACAGUGCCUGGUCUGAAGAAGCAGAGACCAGACUGGGCACCCCACUUCUAACCAGAGCUUCUCUGCUGACCACUGGACUAGCUGGUAACCCCCAGACUGUCAUGGACUUUGAUCUGUGAGUGGCUGCCUCUGAGGCCAAUCUUCUCCUGGCCCUGUGGCUUGAGCACUGCCCAAGGUCAGUAGAGCCCAAGACUUGGGGGGUGGGGUUCCUUCUACCCCAUGGCUGUCCAGCUGGGGGAGCUGAGGCACUGGUUACAGGGUUUUCUCUUAGCACCUUCUGCUCCCGCUGCUGCUGCAUUUCACACAGGGCCUGGCACCCCAGCCCCCUCCUGGGGCCUGGCACCCGCCUGCCCUGCGGGCAUUCCCACAGCCUUCAAAGGGCACCGUGAGGCCCAAGAGGGGCAGGGCCUUUCAUCUCUUGGGUGGCUGUAUGAUCCCUAGGGGCAUGGCUACCUCCCAAGCCCUGCCCCCCAGUGCCCUGGUAGUACCCGCCCUCCAGCCAGCACCAUCCAGCCAGCCUGAGUUCUGCCCACCACCUGAGGGAGGGGCCCUAGUACCCAGAAGGGGCAGGGGGCUAAGGCUGGGCAUACUGGCCCAGGACUGGCCUGCAAAGAUCUGGAGUUUCACCUCUCCCAGUAUCUGACCCUCAGCCCAGCCCUGCACAGCCUCCGUGCUCAGAGGGCCACUCGCACCCCCAAAUCACUCUACUGCUGGGGCUCCUGUGGCCGCGAGUCAGAAUCCCAGUCCCUGGGUGCUGAGGCUCAGCACACUCCUGUCUCCUCACUGGGGCUGGGCAUGUAGCCCAGUGCUUUGCCCCUCAGGGCCACUCAGGUCUGGCUCCUAUUGUCCACUUCUUCUCAGAGAGUCCACUCCUCCUGAGCGCCUGCUGGGCACCUGGCACACUCCCUGGCUCUUCUGCAAUGACGUCACUUUUGGAAAGUGGCACCAGCCUUUCUCCACACGUUGUGGAUGUCUCCGUCCCAGGACCCCCACCCGGUGGGAGGGCCGAUGCCACGUGUUGAUGCCUCCUGCCGUUGCCUUUUGCCCAUGGCUGUCUUGAUGCUCCUUUUUUCACCUCUCCAAGCCUAAGUCUUCACCUCUCUACAGGGACCAAGGCAGGGGGUCUCAGGGGACAGGGAGAUGUGCUGUUGAUGAAUGCUCAGCACGGUCCAAGGUGUGAGCAUGGGCUCCAGUGAGGAGGUGAGCCUCGUGGGCCACACUCAGGCCUUGUGAGGUUGGCCUACCCGGCACCUCCACUCCACAGUCUUGGGGGAGCAAAGAGCAGAGGCCAAGCCCAGAGGAGGGCCCUGGUCAGCAUGAGCCCUGGUGCCCUGCUCUGGCCUGGUCAGAUCUGAGUUCUUCUGGACAGGUCUCGAGGGGUAAGUGGGAGCUCAGGAGGGUGGAAGAGGAGGUAGCACCACAGAGCAACAAGGCCCAAGGUCUGAGGGUGGCUGUGGAACCAGGAGCAGCCAGGCCUGCGCUCUAGGACUCUAGGGUGUCCCUGAGCUUUGCCUGGCCCCAGGACCCUGGGGACAGAAAUCUGCCUGGGAAUACCAUGUUUCAGCUCCUGGAAGGCCCCUCUCUCCACCAAGCUGGGCUUCGUCCCACUCUUGGUUCGCCAGGGAGCCUCAACUCAUCUGAGAGCGAGGCCUAGGACAUAGGAGGACCCUCCCCAAAACAGAGGGACCAGAAGCCAGGGGUGACCAGGGACAGGGCCGUCCUGGCCAGGCCUAGGUCCUGGUGUGUGGGCAUUGGUGGAAACAGGGGCAUGUAGCCCGGUGGAGGCAGGCAGGGGGUCUCCCAGGACAGAAGGGCUUCUGCUCACAGUGAGGCCCAGGGUGGACCCAGUUCUAGCACCAGCCCUGUUGUAAGGACGGCCUUAGGCCUGAGCCUAAGCAACUCCAUUUUGAAACUCCAGUUUGAAACCUUCGUCUCACCAGGCACGCCUAUGGAGCCCUCCAGUAUGGCCCUCAGGCACAAACAAGUCACUUCUCCCCACCCUGACAAACUCAGAGUGAAGCCUCUGGUAUGUUGUCCUUGCCCCCAAUAAGGGGGAAAGGCAAGAAAAUCAGGGUGGGGACCACCAGACCAGAUGUUUUAACCCCAGGGUAAAUGAUGUCACUGGGAAAUCCUGGUGGCAGCUGAUAAGGAUUGAAAGGGGGUCAAAAUCCCCCAAAUUUGGUAUAAAUAAUGGAGCAAGAGAACAGACAUUCAGCCAGCCGACACUGAUGCCCUCACGCCGAGAGCCUGAUGAGGACCUGGACUGACAUCCCAACACUUUUCAUCGUUGCUGAUCCUCUGCAUCUUCCUCACCACCCUCAAACUCUACAGCCACAUCUUGGCCCUGGGGAGAGCCUCCUCAGCCAGCGGUCAGCUCCACCCCAGGAGAAGCCUGCCUGGGUUCCUGACCUGAUCACUGCGGUCUGAGUGAGUGUGCAUCUGGUCUGAGUGAGUGUGCAUCUGCUGGACUUAGAGCCUAAGGCUUGAGACUUUUGAUCUGACACUUGAACUUGGCACGCAGAGGGCAUGUCUGUCAUGAGCCUGUCACGAUUAAGUGUGUUUGCGGUGCUUGGAAUUAAUCUAGAAUGGUUUGCUGUGAACUGAUUAUGGCUACUGCAGCGACUAGCAUUAAGGAUUGCGGUCUUCUUGAUUAAGAACCUAUAGAGGGGCUGGGGAUGUGGCUCAAGCGGUAUCGCGCUCGCCUGGCAUGCGUGCGGCCCGGGUUCGAUCCUCAGCGCCACAUACAAAGAUGUUGUGUCUGCUGAAAACUAAAAAUAAAUAAGUAAAU
rnacentral:lncRNA from 1 species